GCCUGGGUGGCGGAAUAGGUAGACGCAAGGGACUUAAAAUCCCUCGGUCGAUUCGACCGUGCCGGUUCAACUCCGGCCCUAGGCACCA
rnacentral:tRNA from 1 species